rnacentral:rRNA from 1 species
CCUACGGGAGGCAGCAGUGGGGAAUAUUGGACAAUGGGGGGAACCCUGAUCCAGCCAUGCCGCGUGUGUGAAGAAGGCCCUCGGGUUGUAAAGCACUUUCAGUGAGGAAGAACGCCUGGUGGUUAAUACCCAUCAGGAAAGACAUCACUCACAGAAGAAGCACCGGCUAACUCCGUGCCAGCAGCCGCGGUAAUACGGUGGGUGCGAGCGUUAAUCGGAAUUACUGGGCGUAAAGCGCGCGUAGGUGGCUUGAUAAGCCGGUUGUGAAAGCCCCGGGCUCAACCUGGGAACGGCAUCCGGAACUGUCAAGCUAGAGUGCAGGAGAGGAAGGUAGAAUUCCCGGUGUAGCGGUGAAAUGCGUAGAGAUCGGGAGGAAUACCAGUGGCGAAGGCGGCCUUCUGGACUGACACUGACACUGAGGUGCGAAAGCGUGGGUAGCAAACAGGAUUAGAUACCCCUGUAGUC